rnacentral:rRNA from 1 species
GACAGGUGCUGCAUGGCUGUCGUCAGCUCGUGUUGUGAUGUGUAGUCCGUACGAGCGCAACUAUCCCUGCCAGCGGUCCUUCAGGGAGACCUGCCGGUGACAACGAGAGUGGGGACGACGUCAGUCAUCAUGGCCCUUACGAGCAGGGCUACACACGUGCUACAAUGGCCGGUACAGUUGCGAAGCGGCGACGUGAAGCCAAUAGCCGGCCUCAGUCCGGNAUCGGAAGUCUGGCAACUUCNGACUUCCNUGAAGUCGGGAAUCCCUUAGUAAUCGGUGGAUNA